UUAUAACUUAUAAAAAGCGCUGUCAAUUGCGAUGAAGUAUUUUUUUUCAUCGGAGAGAUGAAUCGCAAAUUCGGCGGAGGUAAGCAACCUACCGGAACGCCGUCGCUGGCAUGGUCCUGCGUCGUCGUCGUGGCGUCUCUUAUCGCCGGAGCUUCGAUUGUGCACAAUAUCUACAAACCUGAUUUGAGAAUCCCGGAUGCAGAGGACAUCGGUGGUCCUGAGCAGAAACAAACGGAGAGUUAACUUCCCAGAUUUUCAAUGUGAGUUUUGUUUUUAAAUAAUGUUGAUGGUUGAGAGAAUUAUGUUCUCUGUGGAUCGAUUGCUGCUUCAAUUAUGUUCAUCUUGUUGAAUAUUUUUGUCUGAUUUUGGCA